GAUGAACGCUGGCGGCGUGCCUAAUACAUGCAAGUCGAGCGAACGGACGAGAAGCUUGCUUUUCUGAUGUUAGCGGCGGACGGGUGAGUAACACGUGGAUAACCUACCUAUAAGACUGGGAUAACUUCGGGAAACCGGAGCUAAUACCGGAUAAUAUUUUGAACCGCAUGGUUCAAAAGUGAAAGACGGUCUUGCUGUCACUUAUAGAUGGAUCCGCGCUGCAUUAGCUAGUUGGUAAGGUAACGGCUUACCAAGGCAACGAUGCAUAGCCGACCUGUGAGGGUGAUCGGCCACACGGGAACUGAGACACGGUCCAGACUCCUACGGGAGGCAGCAGUAGGGAAUCUUCCGCAAUGGGCGAAAGCCUGACGGAGCAACGCGGAGUGAGUGGUGAAGGUCUUCGGAUCGUAAAACUCUGUUAUUAGGGAAGAACAGAUUUGUAAGUAACUGUGCACAUCUUGACGGUACCUAAUCAGAAAGCCACGGCUAACUACGUG
rnacentral:rRNA from 1 species